rnacentral:tRNA from 1 species
GCGGACUUCCGUUGGCUUUAUUGACCGUGAGGGUUCAAGUCCCUCUACCCCCA